UAGCUAGUUGGUGAGGUAAAGGCUUACCAAGGCGACGAUCUGUAGCGGGUCUGAGAGGAUGAUCCGCCACACUGGAACUGAGACACGGUCCAGACUCCUACGGGAGGCAGCAGUGGGGAAUUUUGGACAAUGGGGGCAACCCUGAUCCAGCCAUGCCGCGUGAGUGAAGAAGGCCUUCGGGUUGUAAAGCUCUUUCGGCCGGGAAGAAAUCGCAUGGGCCAAUACCCUGUGUGGAUGACGGUACCGGAAUAAGAAGCACCGGCUAACUACGUGCCAGCAGCCGCGGUAAUACGUAGGGUGCGAGCGUUAAUCGGAAUUACUGGGCGUAAAGCGUGCGCAGGCGGUUUUGUAAGACAGGCGUGAAAUCCCCGGGCUUAACCUGGGAACUGCGUUUGUGACUGCAAGGCUAGAGUACGGCAGAGGGGGGUGGAAUUCCACGUGUAGCAGUGAAAUGCGUAGAGAUGUGGAGGAACACCAAUGGCGAAGGCAGCCCCCUGGGUCGAUACUGACGCUCAUGCACGAAAGCGUGGGUAGCAAACAGGAUUAGAUACCCUGGUAGUCCACGCCCUAAACUAUGUCAACUAGGUGUUGGGUGGGUAAAACCAUUUAGUACCGUAGCUAACGCGUGAAGUUGACCGCCUGGGGAGUACGGCCGCAAGGUUAAAACUCAAAGGAAUUGACGGGGACCCGCACAAGCGGUGGAUGAUGUGGAUUAAUUCGAUGCAACGCGAAAAACCUUACCUACCCUUGACAUGCCAGGAACUUGCCAGAGAUGGCUUGGUGCCCGAAAGGGAGCCUGGACACAGGUGCUGCAUGGCUGUCGUCAGCUCGUGUCGUGAGAUGUUGGGUUAAGUCCCGCAACGAGCGCAACCCUUGUCGUUAAUUGCCAUCAUUUGGUUGGGCACUUUAACGAGACUGCCGGCGACAAACCGGAGGAAGGUGGGGAUGACGUCAAGUCCUCAUGGCCCUUAUGGGUAGGGCUUCACACGUCAUACAAUGGUCGGUACAAAGGGUUGCCAAGCCGCGAGGCGGAGCCAAUCCCAGAAAGCCGAUCGUAGUCCGGAUUGCAGGCUGCAACUCGCCUGCAUGAAGUCGGAAUCGCUAGUAAUCGUGGAUCAGCAUGUCACGGUGAAUACGUUCCCGGGUCUUGUACACACCGCCCGUCACACCAUGGGAGCGGGUUCCGCCAGAAGUAGGUAGCCUAACCGCAAGGGGGGCGCUUACCACGGCGGGGUUCGUGACUGGGGUGAAGUCGUAACAAGGUAGCCGUAGGGGUGCGGCUGGAUC
rnacentral:rRNA from 1 species